AUGUACUCAAGAAGGACACUGCUUCACACUCCUUCAUUCUCUGGGGGGCAGCCCUCCGGACCAAGCCAGCCGGUGACCGACGGCGGCGCUCCGGGAAGCAACUUCGACGCGAACGUGGUGAUGAUCCUCGCCGUCCUCCUCUGCGCGCUCAUAUGCGCGCUGGGGCUCAACUCGAUCGUCCGGUGCGCGCUCCGGUGCUCGAGCCGGGCGGCGGCGGCGGACGCGGAGCCCAGCCGGGUGGCGCGGCUGGCCAAGGGCGGGCUGAGGAGGAAGGCCGUCCGGGCCAUGCCGAUCAUGGUCUACUCCGCGGGGCUGAAGCUCAACACCGCCUGCCCGAUGUGCACCAUCUGCCUCUCGGACUUCGAGGCCGGGGAGCACGUCAAGGUCCUCCCCAAGUGCAACCAUGGCUUCCACGUCAGAUGCAUUGACCGGUGGCUCCUCGCGCGCUCCACCUGCCCGACGUGCCGCCAGUCCUUGUUCGCCGAGCCGCACAAGGCGUGUGGGUGCUCCGAGGCCAGCCAGGUCGACCCGGCGCGUGUCCACUCUGUGCUUGUGCCGCUCAGGCCUGAAGGUUUGAUCACCACGUAUGAUUUUUAG
rnacentral:rRNA from 1 species